GAUGAGCGCUGGCGGCGUGCCUAAUACAUGCAAGUAGAACGCUGAAGGAAGGAGCUUGCUCUUUCCGGAUGAGUUGCGAACGGGUGAGUAACGCGUAGGUAACCUGCCUGGUAGCGGGGGAUAACUAUUGGAAACGAUAGCUAAUACCGCAUAACAGUAGAUGUUGCAUGAUAUCUACUUAAAAGGUGCAAUUGCACCACUACCAGAUGGACCUGCGUUGUAUUAGCUAGUUGGUGAGGUAACGGCUCACCAAGGCGACGAUACAUAGCCGACCUGAGAGGGUGAUCGGCCACACUGGGACUGAGACACGGCCCAGACUCCUACGGGAGGCAGCAGUAGGGAAUCUUCGGCAAUGGACGGAAGUCUGACCGAGCAACGCCGCGUGAGUGAAGAAGGUUUUCGGAUCGUAAAGCUCUGUUGUAAGAGAAGAACGAGUGUGAGAGUGGAAAGUUCACACUGUGACGGUAUCUGACCAGAAAGGGACGGCUAACUACGUG
rnacentral:rRNA from 1 species